AUCUUAUCCAAACAUCUCCCACAUUGUAUCCACCUUGCAGGAGCUUCCAUACCAUAAUUGGGCUCCAUUCGAUAUGUUUUGGGCUACCUUAAGUCAACCUAAACCCAUAAGGCCCAAAACUGCACUCCAUGCACAUGCCUUUACUUCAAAUAGUCCCUCAAUUCUUAUGAGUUUCUAGCCUAUUUUAUCUUCACUUGCUCAACGUCGUUUCAACAACUUA
rnacentral:lncRNA from 1 species